AUAUUUUUGCAUGGUCUGGAGAGAUUAGAAUAUGUUUAGAAAUCAAUUCUAUAGGUUUCUUCUCAUUAAAAAAACAAAACAAAAAAACCUAAAAAGGGGUGACUCUUGCCCAAAUGUAUCUUUCACCUUUUAAAGGUUAAGAUUGAGCCUUUCAAAACCCCAUUCUAAAAUGAGAGGAUAUGAUAGCUAAUUUGAUCAUCACAAAAAUAUACUCAUAGCUUGAAGCCAAAAGGUGUUUUGGUUUUUUUCCAUUGAAAACCAAGAAUGGCACCAAGCAAAUACUUGUGUAAAAUAGGGGGGUUAGCACUAUCUAGAUUUUUCUAACCACAUGGCCUUCCAUUGCAGGGCCAUUUCAUCAGAAUUACAGCUGGGUAGGUUGUUCCCAGAUUCUUCUGACCAGAUUCGUCUGCUCAACCUAUUCCAAGGAAAUUGGAUCCUCUGCAGUGAGAACUUAAAAUGCUCUGUCCAUAUUAAGGCUAGUUCACUUAGUGAAUUUAGCCACUUUUUUAAAAAUGGAUUUGAUUGCUGUCUAGAAGAUCCAUACCAAGUCUAUAUCCUGCUGGUCCUGAACUUCUGUUCUGGUUCCUGUGCUUUGCUCACAGGAGUGCAAGAAAAAUACAAGUGGAGGAGUAGAAAGAGCACCUUUGACUGUUAUUUCCGCUUGCCUCAGCAGCUACACUGUAGUAAUGCAGUGUAAGUGCUAUAUAUCUAAUUGCAAAUUGUUUGUGGUGAUACAUGAGGCAAGUUGCAAUACAGCUAACCUAGGGUCCACAUUUCCAGAUGAAUUUUUGGGGGGUGGGGUGAGAAGUACCAGGGAGUCUUAUUCCAAACCACAAGAUAAUCUUUACUAUUUAUGAUGAUCUUUACUAUUGAUGUAAAUGAUCUUUAAGUCAGAUGAUCUUUACUAUUUAUGUUAUUUGAAAUAGAUGUGAAAUUACACCAAGUAGGUUUGUAAUUAUAAGUGAUUUUUAACAAUUUAUUAAUGAUUCUGGAUGGCUGACUGGAUAUAUCUUAAAGCAGAAGCUGCUGAGUUCUUUGUUCAGAAAGGAAUACCUAAAUUCACAGCUGAUUUUUCAAAACUUGCUGUGAGAGUUUGAGAUUAGCCUACAUGCACACCUUUGUGUGACUUUGGGGUGAUUGUGUUGGAGACUGCUCAUAACUAUCCUGCCUUUUUCUUUCUUGAAAUCCAUGCUACUAGUAAAAGAAAACAAUUGAAACUCAUACUGAAAUUGUUUGUGCUCAUGAUGUAGGGAAA
rnacentral:lncRNA from 1 species